rnacentral:rRNA from 1 species
CAGUAGCCGCGGGAAAACGUAGGUGGCAAGCGUUGUCCGGAAUUAUUGGGCGUAAAGGGCUCGCAGGCGGUUUCUUAAGUCUGAUGUGAAAGCCCCCGGCUCAGCCGGGGAGGGUCAUUGGAAACUGGGAAACUUGAGUGCAGAAGAGGAGAGUGGAAUUCCACGUGUAGCGGUGAAAUGCGUAGAGAUGUGGAGGAACACCAGUGGCGAAGGCGACUCUCUGGUCUGUAACUGACGCUGAGGAGCGAAAGCGUGGGGAGCGAACAGGAUUAGAUACCCGCGUAGUCCCUGUCUCUUAUAC